AGAUUUACACAAUUCUUCAGGAGAUGAAGACUCUUUAGAACAGAGAUUGAUACCUACUAUUCCUAACACAAUGGAAGAGCUAUAUGGCCAGAGCAUUAUAUGCUGCUGUGCCACAAAUGAAAUCGUUAAAACCUUCUGAAGAAGAUCUCUGAAAUUAGAAGUGGUGAAAUAACAAAGAUUAUACUUCGAGAAGUCUUCACCAUCUAGAAGUAGGGGCAUUAGAUUACUCCAUGCUGCCAGGGUUGCACCCGAAACAAAGCUAGAAGAGCCAAAGAAGCCUGUGAAAAUCCAUAAGAUUGGAUUAAAGUCCAGCAGUAAAAAUAAAAAGGAUACAGGACUGAAAGGAUCUUAUCCUGUAUCAACAUCCAGGAACAUAGAAAACUAUGACAAAUGCACAGGUAUUUGCCCUGAUAGCUUUAAAAGUUCAUUGGUACCUCAAGGAAUUUUAUGUUUAACUAGAAACAGAAAGAAACAACCUCAAGACAUUCAUUGGAUACCUAGUCUAAAAAAGAUUGUUGAAAAGCAGCUUCCAAGCCUGGAAAAUAAAGCCGGAUAGAGUACAAGAAUCCUUUAGAAUUAGAAGUCGAAAUGAAACUGAUGAAGAACUCUAUAGUACUCCUUUGCUGAGAGUGAUGGAGAUAGCUUGGGCUGAGAACAAAAAUAGAGGUAUGACUGAAGAGCGGUUACAUUUAAGGUCUACCAUAAGAAGCAGACACAGUUCAGAAUGGAUAGGAUUUAAUCCUUUGUCAAAGGACAUCUCACCUUUGGGUAAGAUUGGAAAAGCAACUGUUCCCCGAUUUUUCCUGACAACAAGAAAGCGGGCGAUACAGACCUGCAAAGAUCUGCUAACCUUAGCAAAGAUGACCCAUCCACCACAGCAGGAGAAUCAACCCCAGAAAAAGUCUCAAAUUUCAAGAAAACUUUUUACAGUAGUCUUUUGAGAAAGAGAAUAAAAUCAAAGACUCCUAGUAGCAAACUCUCAGAGCCAAUUGAUGUUGAAAAGUAUAGCCCAGAGAGGUGUAUUCUAAAAUCUGUCCCACGGGUCAGUGACAAUUUACAAUCGGGUUUGCUACUCCAAGGAACCCAGUCAGAGCCUUCUUAGCUUACAGAAACCAGCAGCAGUGCUGUGUUAGAAGAUAACAAAAACCAUACUCAAGAAAAGGUCGCUGCAGAGCCCAUAAAAUUAAGUAAUCACCAGGAGUUUUCAAACUCAUGGAAAACAGGAAAACACAACUUAAGCAGACCAGACCAGCUACCAGAAGUUCAAAAGAGGCAACAAAGAAAGUGAAGACAGCAAAGAUGAUGGUCAUCUUACAAAUAGUAAAAUAUAAUUUUAAGGCAAUAAGUGAAUAUAAUAAAAUAGUUUGACUGAUUGUCACAAAAUUUCAAGUUAUUUUGUAAAUGG